AAAUUUCAGACUUAGUCUAAUUGGAGCAGAUAGAUUAAGACAACCCAUCUGUGGAUUCUCCAUCAUCAUGCUGAGAAAAGGCGUUCAGGCAAGACAACGCCCCUAUCUCAUUCUAUUUUGAAAUGAUAGCAAUGUCUUGCAGAUCUCUAUGCUCUUUUAUUUUAUUUUUUAAAAGUGGAUGUAUUUUCCUGUCAUGGUGCAGUCAGAGCUAUAUCACCAAAGAGAUUGCCUGGAAUGAGUUUUCCUUAAUCCCAACUUUAACUGUAUUCAGAGCAGCAUCAAAAGACACACUGGGGAAAGAUACAAUGUGAUAGAAAAGACAGAAGAUAGGCAAACCAAGAAAGGUGAUCAAGCAACCUAUGGUUAUUUAUUUAUUUAGAUUUAUUAUAGCUUCCUACUCUCAUAGACUCUGGGUGACUUGCAAACACAAUAUGCCUUGUUUUUGCAAAGUUUCUCUUAGGUGCAACCUCUCUUUCCUUGCUUUUCAUAACAACUUCACUCAAAGUGACUCCUCUGUCAGUCAUGCUGGCUUAUAAUAGGAAAAUAAAUAGGCAACUGAGUAGGGGAUGAUGUCAGCAUCCUGGCUAACACAGGAUACAAUGAAUAAUAAGUGUGCAUGCAUAUUUGGAAGCAAGUGGGAGAAUGCCAGAAUUCAAGCCAGCCAGCUGGGCCUGCCUUGCUGUUCCAGGUCAGGACUGAAGAAAGCAAUUAGCUUUUGGAUUGUCCACUGCUGCUACAACUAUUGAGCAAAGGUCCUGCUUUUCUUCAGUUAUGAGGAAUAGACUAAUUAAGAAUGAAAUAAACUGCAGCAUUCAGGAAUUAUGAGCAGUUUCACAUUGAGAUCAAUCAAUGGAAAGCUGUCACGGAAGUGUCAGGAAACAAUGGCCACUAACCAUGGACCCAAUUUCAUUACUACAGGCCUGCAGACAAGAGUGUUUCAUAUUCUUAUCGUAGUACAGUAUUUGUCCUCACCAAAAUGGAGAGUUAAUUGCUGUAGAAGCCAAGUUUGUUUUACCUGGUAACAAUAGACUCAAACCUACAGAUAAAAGCAUUGUCAAAUGAGUCAUUUUCAAAGUAUUUGAAGAAUGCUCCUGAGAAUACUGUGAAAAGUCAUGGAAAUAAACUGAUGGGUCAUCAAAGAAAUCAUUUCUGAAUUCUGAAUUGACAAGACUCAAAUUAUUCUAUUUCAGAUACACUAUGAAAAGAUCCAUCUCUCUGGAAAAGAUUCUAAAGCUUGAAAGGAGAGAGAAUAGGAUAAUCAACAAAUGGAUGGAUGGAGUUUACAAUGGCAAUGAGCGUGCCAUUGGAAGAGAUAGAUUGACGUGGAUAAAAUCUAUGUGGCCAGUAUAAGCUGAAAAUAACUUGAUGUCACUCCCAUCUAUCCAAUCAUAUUUCCUAUCUUAUACAAUUAAUUUCCUUUUACAAAAUGGAGAACUUAUCUCUGUUAAAUUUCAUUCACUUAUUUUCAGCCCAUAGUUUCUAGCCUAAUUUUUUCCUCAACCUUGGCAAGUUUAAGUAUGGACUGGGGAUUUCCAGGAAUUGAGGUCCACACAUUUUAAAGUUACCAAGGUUAAGAAACACUAUCAAAUUCAUUUGUAUUUUGUUUGCUUCUGUGGUAAAAAAAUUUCACCCCAUACUAUAUUAUCUGCAAAUUUUAUUAAUAAUCCUUUCAUCAAGACAUUGAUAAAAUGCUGCUGAAUAAUGAAUCCUGGACUGAACUUGUGGCAUUCCACUCUGUAUUUCACCCCUGUAUUUGAUGAGAAAUCAUUGGUGAACUCUUUUGAAAUAUAAUUUUCAACCCAGCUUUAUUUUUAUUAAAUUGAUCUACUUUCCAUUCUUUAGUUGGAUUGGACAAAAUUGGACAACCAUUUAUCUAAAAUGGUAUAGGGUUUCCUGCCUGAGCAGGGGAUUGGACUAGAUGACUUUCAAGGUUCCUUUGAACUCUGUUAAUAUUAAUUUGUGAAUUUUAAUGUUAUGCAGUACUUUUAAACUGUUUGCUGAAAUCAAAACAUGUUAUACUUAAAACAUUCAUAUACUCUGCAAUGGAAGAUAUCCAAGUUUUACAAAAUGAGCUCAGUUUAGCCCAGGGGUAGGCAAC